rnacentral:rRNA from 1 species
CGGGUGCACUGAUCCAGCCGGGCCUUUCCCUCUGUGGAACCCCAUGGCCUUCACUGGCUGUGGUGGGGAAACAGGACUUUUACUUUGAAAAAAUUAGAGUGCUCCAGGCAGGCCUAUGCUCGAAUACAUUAGCAUGGAAUAAUAGAAUAGGACGUGUGGUUCUAUUUUGUUGGUUUCUAGGACCGCCGUAAUGAUUAAUAGGGACAGUCGGGGGCAUCAGUAUUCAAUUGUCAGAGGUGAAAUUCUUGGAUCUAUUGAAGACUAACUACUGCGAAAGCAUUUGCCAAGGAUGUUUUCAUUGAUAAGGAACGAAAGUUAGGGGAUCGAAGACGAUCAGAUACCGUCGUAGUCUUAACUAUAAACUAUGCCGACUAGGGAUCGGACGAUGUUAUUCUUUGACGCGUUCGGCACCUUUCGAGAAAUCAAAGUGCUUGGGCUCCAGGGGGAGUAUGGUCGCAAGGCUGAAACUUAAAGAAAUUGACGGAAGGGCACCACCAGGGGUGGAACCUGCGGCUUAAUUUGACUCAACACGGGGAAACUCACCAGGUCCAGACACAGGGAGGAUUGACAGAUUGAGAGCUCUUUCUUGAUUCUGUGGGUGGUGGUGCAUGGCCGUUCUUAGUUGGUGGAGUGAUUUGUCUGCUUAAUUGCGAUAACGAACGAGACCUUAACCUGCUAAAUAGCCCGUACUGCUUUGGCAGUUCGCCGGCUUCUUAGAGGGACUAUCGG